UUGGAGGGCAAGUCUGGUGCCAGCAGCCGCGGUAAUUCCAGCUCCAAUAGCGUAUAUUAAAGUUGUUGCAGUUAAAAAGCUCGUAGUUGAAUUUCGGGAUUCGUCGGUUGGUCGGGCUUCACUGUCCGCACUGAUCUGACGGAUUCCUACCUUCUGAAUAACCAGCAUGCUAUUAAGUUAGUGCGUUGGGGAAGCAGAGCUAUUACCUUGAAAAAAUUAGAGUGCUUAAAGCAGGCUUGUGCUUGAAUAGAUUAGCAUGGAAUAAUAAAAUAGGACGGCAUGGUUCUAUUUUGUUGGUUUCUAGGAUCACCGUAAUGAUUAAUAGGGAUAGUUGGGGGCAUUAGUAUUCAAUUGUCAGAGGUGAAAUUCUUGGAUUUAUUGAAGACUAACUUCUGCGAAAGCAUUUGCCAAGGAUGUUUUCAUUAAUCAAGAACGAAAGUUAGGGGAUCGAAGACGAUCAGAUACCGUCGUAGUCUUAACCAUAAACUAUGCCGACUAGGGAUCGGACGAUGUUAAUUUUUUAAUGACUCGUUCGGCGCCUUACGGGAAAC
rnacentral:rRNA from 1 species